rnacentral:tRNA from 1 species
GUGACCGUAGCUCAACUGGCAGAGCACCGGCUUGUGGUGCCGGACGUUGGAGGUUCGAAUCCUCUCGGUCACA